UACGGAGGGAGCUAGCGUUGUUCGGAAUUACUGGGCGUAAAGCGCGCGUAGGCGGCUUUGUAAGUUAGAGGUGAAAUCCCGGGGCUCAACCUCGGAACUGCCUUUGAUACUGCAAAUCUCGAGUCCGGAAGAGGUGAGUGGAAUUCCUAGUGUAGAGGUGAAAUUCGUAGAUAUUAGGAAGAACACCAGUGGCGAAGGCGGCUCACUGGUCCGGUACUGACGCUGAGGUGCGAAAGCGUGAGGAGCAAACAGG
rnacentral:rRNA from 1 species